UACGUAGGGUGCAAGCGUUAAUCGGAAUUACUGGGCGUAAAGCGUGCGCAGGCGGUGAUGUAAGACAGUUGUGAAAUCCCCGGGCUCAACCUGGGAACUGCAUCUGUGACUGCAUCGCUGGAGUGCGGCAGAGGGGGGAUGGAAUUCCGCGUGUAGCAGUGAAAUGCGUAGAUAUGCGGAGGGAACACCGAUGGCGAAGGCAAUCCCCUGGGCCUGCCACUGACACUCAUGCACGAAAGCGUGGGGAGCAAACAGG
rnacentral:rRNA from 1 species